rnacentral:rRNA from 1 species
AUUGAACGCUGGCGGCAGGCCUAACACAUGCAAGUCGAGCGGAUGAAGGGAGCUUGCUCCUGGAUUCAGCGGCGGACGGGUGAGUAAUGCCUAGGAAUCUGCCUGGUAGUGGGGGAUAACGUCCGGAAACGGGCGCUAAUACCGCAUACGUCCUGAGGGAGAAAGUGGGGGAUCUUCGGACCUCACGCUAUCAGAUGAGCCUAGGUCGGAUUUGCUAGUUGGUGGGGUAAAGGCCUACCAAGGCGACGAUCCGUAACUGGUCUGAGAGGAUGAUCAGUCACACUGGAACUGAGACACGGUCCAGACUCCUGCGGGAGGCAGCAGUGGGGAAUAUUGGACAAUGGGCGAAAGCCUGAUCCAGCCAUGCCGCGUGUGUGAAGAAGGUCUUCGGAUUGUAAAGCACUUUAAGUUGGGAGGAAGGGCAGUAAGUUAAUACCUUGCUGUUUUGACGUUACCAACAGAAUAAGCACCGGCUAACUUCGUG